GAUGAACGCUAGCGGGAGGCUUAACACAUGCAAGUCGAGGGGCAUCACGGGGUAGCAAUACUCUGGUGGCGACCGGCGCACGGGUGAGUAACGCGUAUGUAACCUACCCUGUACAGGGGGAUAGCCCGGAGAAAUUCGGAUUAAUACCCCAUAAUAAUAUUGGAAGGCAUCUUUUGAUAUUUAAAGUUACGGCGGUACAGGAUGGGCAUGCGUGACAUUAGCUAGUUGGUAGGGUAACGGCCUACCAAGGCUACGAUGUCUAGGGGUCCUGAGAGGGUGAUCCCCCACACUGGUACUGAGACACGGACCAGACUCCUACGGGAGGCAGCAGUGAGGAAUAUUGGUCAAUGGACGGAAGUUUGAACCAGCCAUCCCGCGUGCAGGAAGAAGGCGCUAUGCGUUGUAAACUGCUUUUCCAGGGGAAGAAAUUUUCGCACGUGUGCGGAAUUGACGGUACCUUGGGAAUAAGCAUCGGCUAACUCCGUGCCAGCCGCCGCAGUAAAAC
rnacentral:rRNA from 1 species